AGUGUAGCGUAGUAUCUUUCAAGCUAUCAGGUGUAUUUCACUACACCGGUUAUCGAAGAUUGUCCGAUUAGCAAGUGUGCAAACGAUGGCGAAUGAGACAGAUCCUAUGAUUGGGGUUGGAAGUGAAACGGAGAAUAGUCAUGAAAUGCACACGAUCGGACAAAACGGUACAGAAAGAAUAGAAGAAAGACAAGCCGCAAAUGAUACUAACUACAUUCUAGAAUGUGUGAAAAAGAGUCCAAUAGAUAUAGACAGGCUGAAAGAAUUUAUCGAAUCUGGCGACGAUGUUAAUUCCUGCGACAAGGAUGAUAAGAGAACGGCUCUGCAUGAAGCUGCAUUAAAAGGAGAAGAUGAAGCCGUCGACGUGCUGCUGCAAGCCGGAGCUCAUAUUAGAUAUAGAGAUAAUCAUGGUAAUACUGCACUUCAUUUUGCUGUACAAAGUGGUUUGGCAAAAGCCUGUGAUGUAUUCAAACGUCUUCUUCCGACAAAGGAGAAACUUGAAAAAUUAUGUGGCACUGGGCUUGUACAUGAAACCCCAAAAAGAGGUAAACCUUAUACUCGAACAAAGAGUGAAUACUGGAUUGAUACGGCUGUAUCAGUUAACAAAGAAGGCUUCAAUGUUUUAGAUCUUGCGUUAGAGAAGAUUACGGCUGCUACUAAUAAUAAAAUUAAUGAAGAGAGAAGGAACAUUGUCCGGUAUAUAGUUCGGGAAACUGGGCUUUAUUGCUUGCUUAGACUGCUUCGAAACAAUACUAGAAGACAAUUCAGCACGCCUUUUCGGGAACUUAUAGAAAAAAUGCCAGAGGUUGCAGUGGAAGUGAUGAAUAAAUGCAUUACAAAGAAAAGGAGUGAGAUUACUUUCCAUUAUGAAUUUUUGGAUGACACUUACUUCCUGAAAGAAUGGCCGCCGGACCAUAAUGAUUAUCCGUCUACAUGGGAGCACCUGUUUGUUAAAAGAUACCGAGAAACUUGAGGCAUACACAAAUAAUAUGAAGAAGAUGAAAACCAACCACCCCCUCUGGCUGAUGAUAAAUGGCAAACCGACAGAUCAUUCAUGUGAUGGAAUCUACCAACAACUUUUGGAUCACCCUCUUGUAGUUGCCCUAGUCAGCCGUAAAUGGAAUCAUAUAGGAAAGAAAUUCCAUGCAGCGAAUUUUCUACUUUAU
rnacentral:misc_RNA from 1 species